GCCUGGGUGGCUCAGUCGGUUGAGCGUCCGACUUCAGCUCAGGUCAUGAUCUCACGGUUUGUGAGUUCGAGCCCCACGUCAGGCU
rnacentral:tRNA from 1 species